rnacentral:rRNA from 1 species
GCUCAGAACGAACGCUGGCGGCAUGCCUAAGACAUGCAAGUCGAACGAGACCUUCGGGGUUUAGUGGCGCACGGGUGCGUAACGCGUGGGAAUCUGCCCUUUGGUUCGGAAUAACACUUGGAAAUUUGUGCUAAUACCGGAUGAUGACGAAAGUCCAAAGAUUUAUCGCCUUUGGAGGAGCCCGCGUAGGAUUAGCUAGUUGGUGGGGUAAAGGCCUACCAAGCCGACGAUCCUUAGCUGGUCUGAAAGGAUGAUCAGCCACACUGGGACUGAGACACGGCCCAGACUCCUACGGGAGGCAGCAGUGGGGAAUAUUGGACAAUGGGCGAAAGCCCGAUCCAGCAAUGCCGCGUGAGUGUAGAAGGCCUUUGGGUUGUAAAUGCUCUUUUACCGGGGAAGAUAAUGACUGUACCGGGAGAAUAAGCCCCGCCUAACUCCGUGCCAGCAGCCGCGGUAAU